AGUGAACGCUGGCGGUAGGCCUAACACAUGCAAGUCGAACGGCAGCACAGUAGGAGCUUGCUCUUACGGGUGGCGAGUGGCGGACGAGUGAGGAAUACAUCGGAAUCUACUUUUUCGUGGGGGAUAACGUAGGGAAACUUACGCUAAUACCGCAUACGACCUACGGGUGAAAGCAGGGGAUCUUCGGACCUUGCGCGAUUGAAUGAGCCGAUGUCGGAUUAGCUAGUUGGCGGGGUAAAGGCCCACCAAGGCGACGAUCCGUAGCUGGUCUGAGAGGAUGAUCAGCCACACUGGAACUGAGACACGGUCCAGACUCCUACGGGAGGCAGCAGUGGGGAAUAUUGGACAAUGGGCGCAAGCCUGAUCCAGCCAUACCGCGUGGGUGAAGAAGGCCUUCGGGUUGUAAAGCCCUUUUGUUGGGAAAGAAAAGCAGCAGGUUAAUACCCCGCUGUUCUGACGGUACCCAAAGAAUAAGCACCGGCUAACUUCGUG
rnacentral:rRNA from 1 species